GAGGAAGGGGAAGGCAAACAGCUUCCCUCUCUUCCAGCAACUUCUCAUUUUGAAACAUUUCGAACCUACAGAACAAAAUAGAAAGAUUUUUUUAAAAAAUGGAGCCAAGAGCCUUUUAGCUAGAUUUAUUAAUUGUGGAUAUUUUGCCAUUGGUUUUUAACUCUAUGUAAGUAGGAUAAUGCUGAAAGUUACACAAAGGAGCAUGCCUUACCAUAUAAAAGGAAGGUCAACAAGCCAGUUAGAAACAUUCCAAUGGAAACGGUUGAUUUGAUAAGAAAUGUUGUGGAUGAUUUUCCUUUUUAUUCCCUUUAUUAUUAGAAUGCUUGCCCCACAAACAAAAACACAAAUAAGAGAGAAGAUUUUUUUAAAGAAGAAAAGCAUCAAAUCCACAGCAGAACGCUAGCAGCCUAGCCUCUCCAAGUGAAGAAUAAGAAGAUAGAGAGAGUGAAGUACCUCGAGACUAAAAAUUUACCCAAGGUUACAAAGCUGAAAAAACACAAAUUACAGCAGCACUACACCUGGAUCUCCCACCACCAACCUUUGGAGAGACCUCGGAGUGCAUCUCCAGAAACUCUGCAUGGAAGAGAAAAGAGGGAAGGAAGCUGUGAUAGUUCCCGGAAGGAGAAAGGCCACCGUAAGUGUGAAAAUAGUAACAGAGUUCCGGUAGCUAAGAGCAUUGACUACAGGAAAGAAACUGCAGAGUGACCUGAGAUUAAAAAAAGCAG